GCAAAUGAGGCUUACUAGAGGAAGGAAAAUGGCACCAAGAUUGAAGCAGCUGUUGCCAGGGAACAAAUCUGGGCAAUGGAUGUCAGGUGUGCAGGCCUGAGGACAGUUGAGUAUCCAGUGAAGACAUGGUAAACAGGUGGGCAAGCAGGAAGAAGUCUCAGUGCAGGUAAGUCUGUAGACUCAGCAACAAAACAUGCUAUCCUCCCUUCUCGGCAAUAACUUGCCCAGACUGAGAGAUGACAGAAGACCCUAAUAUUAGUCAACUGGCCCCUCAGAAGUCAGAAGUCCGAUCCCAGUAACAACAACAAGAACAACAACAACAACAGUAAUUUUAUUACUUAUACCCCGCCCAUCUGGCUGGGUUUCCCCAGCCACUCUGGGCAGCUUCCAGGAAUAUAUAUAUAUAUAUAUAUAUAUAUAGUCAAGCAUUAAAAACUUCCCAAUACAGGGCUGCCUUCAGAUGACUUCUUAAAUUUAUGUAGUUCUUUAUCUCCUUGACAUCUGAAGGGAGGGCUUUCCAUAGGGAGGGUGCCACUGUUGAGAAGGCCCUCUCCCUAACUCCAAUAAUGAACACUGUCGAAACAGUGAAACGCUGUUGAAAGAGUCUUUGCCCUGCCCCCUGGUAAUUUGCUUGACUGCAAGCAAACUGCUGGCUUCAAGUCAAAUAUCAAAAUUCGAGAAUAUUUGGCAUACCCUGAGUCAAAGCCAUUGUGUUGAACUGUAGCCAUAUUAACAACAACGGAGAGGCAAUGCACAGCUAGACGUGGCUCCCAAGGCCUUCAGCUCUGUUAGCAAGGUACCGUAUUUUUCGCUCUAUAACACGCACCAGACCAUAACACGCACAUAGUUUUUAGAGGAGGAAAACAAGAAAAAAAUAUUCUAAAUGAAAUAGUGGAUAUAUGAUUUUUGUGGUUCAUGCUGUGGCCACAGACAUGUGAUCUGACAGUGAGUUUGGAGUAGCCCAAUGAAAAAAUCCUGAGGAUCCAUGUGGAUCCAUGCUUUGUAACCACGGAGGAGGGAAGGAAGGGGAACCAUGGAUCCUCUGCUCAUGACUGCAGCAGAUCCCCCCUGCCACCCGCAGGCAUUCGCUCCAUAACAUGCACAGACAUUUCCCCUUACUUUCUAGGAGGAAAAAAGUGAGUGUUAUGGUGCAAAAAAUACGGUACUUUUUGCACCAGCUGAACUUGCCGGUUGCUAUAGCUGAACUUCCCCAAUCAAUUACCCAUAGAUUUGCUGUGAGUUUAGGGACGUGUCCACAUUUGAACAUUAUUUGAGCUGUUAAUUCACUCCUCCCCCCGCUUCGAAUUAGACCAGAGUACAGGCACACAGCACCCAUUUACACACGUUCAAUACACCACAGAAACAUCAUAAAAUAAGGUGUAAUGGGUGUUUGCUGGCUUUUUCAAUGGUGUUUCAAAUAGGCGUGAUUUCACUAAGUCACACAGUGCCUUGUACGUAACCCCCUCCUAAAUGUGCACCUGGAGGGGGGUUGCCUAUAGUCCACACCCACAUGUAUUUGAAUUUGUAUAAGAACAAUUUGUCUUUUCUGUUCAUACCAGUGGGCACGUGUUUGUCCCUGCCUUCCAAUUUGAUGAUUCUGUUAUGUCAAUUAAGUACUAACAGAGCAUGCAUGCACAACCAUCAAAGGACCCAGCGUCUCCUGGCUUACUUUCAACAGGCAGGGUGAAUGUGGGACCUCCAGCUCACAAAUGGUCAGCUGAGCUGCGCCUCCAAGCAUAUUCCCCAUACUGGCAUGUGAGACUGAUUGAAAGCGACUCAGAACAAGACUGAGCCUCUGACACCUUCGUUGAGACACUCAAAAACACAGGUGCUUCUCCCAAAAGGCACCUCUCCACCCCCAUUGUUCUGCCCGGAAACUGAGGUCCAGUACCGAGGGCCUUCUGGCGGUUCCCUCACUGUGAGAAGUGAAGUUACAGAGAACCAGGCAGAGGGCCUUCUCGGUAGUGGCGCCCGCCCUGUGGAACACCCUCCCACCAGAUGUCAAGGAAAUAAACAACUAUCUGACUUUUAGAAAAUCUCUGAAGGCAGUCCUGUUUAGGGAAGUUUCUAAUGUUUGAUGUUUUAUUAUGUUUUUUGUGUGUUGGAAGCAGUCCAGAGUGCCUGGCGAAACCCAGCCAGAUGGGUGGGGCAGAAAUAAAUUAUUAUUAUUAUUAUUAUUAUUAUUAUUAGGGAGCAGGGAAGUGGGUGCUUUAUUUGCAAAAUGGGUCACUGCAGAAACAGACCUAACAUUUUUGGAGUUGUGUCAUUCUAGAAGUUCUCUCAUUGCUGAGGUGUGGAGCUUAUUGACUGUUAAACAAAUUGGGUGUGGCCAAAGUCACCAACAACAACUUGGCUAUUUGCUACUGGCAAUGAGCUCCACAUAUAGGUGUAACUGUCAAAGCAUGAGAUUAUAGAAUCCUGCGAGCCAUCAGGCAGAGUCCCUUGCCUGGACUCUGAUGUUGCAUUUUAUUGAAGUGACUGCUAACCUUUGGAUAGGAAAUGGACUCAUUGGUGUGCACCCAUGCACGGAUGGGCUGCAGCUUAUCCCACUGAUCCUGGUCUUGUCAGGACCACGUUGCCAGUGGUACAAUUUUAGUCAGCGCUUACACUCGCCAGUAUUACAGCUCCACCAUCCUUGUGAAACAAACAAACAGGAAUGCAGAGAGAGAGAGAGAGGACUGUGGUAGAUAAAGUGGGGCAAAGUCACAUUGGCUUUGGAAUGAAUGGUCAAAAGAGGAGCAGAGCCCAGAGCUACCAGCAGACAGUCCCAUGUUUCAACCACAAGACCUAUCAACGCAUAAGUGCAAGGCCACAAGCUUGAUCACUGGAGCUAGAGAGCUGAUAGAGAAAAAGAGAAUCCUUUGCCAGCUUUUCAUGUUGGAUCACAUGAGAGCAAAGCAUUCUAGUAGGACAAAGCAGAAGGAGCUGCCCAGAUUAUAGACAAGGAGAGGUAGGACAGAGAUGACCACAGAGAAAAGGCGUUUGCAAAUUCCAGAGGUGCCUCUGCUUCUGCUUGUGGGUGCAGCUGCCCAUGCAACGUAAGUUUUUCAGCUAUGGCUCUACUCUGAGUCAAGCUAAUGUGGUUGACAUUCAUCUCAGGAGUCCCAUAUUGGGUACUGCAAAGGGUCACAGAGUAGGAUAGUGUGAAUGUGCAGCAAUCCACACAGCCCAUGGUCGUUUUAAGUAUGCUUGUGCAGGAGAACUUCCUAAGGAAUUGUGAGGAUGUUUUAAAGCCACCCUGAAUAUUUUCCCUGCUUGCUCCAUCUUGCUGUUCCAGCAGACCCAAUGAUUUUCCAUUCCUCAGGCCAGAAGGCCAAUAGCACAGUGCAGAUCCUGCAAAGAGCAUAUAUUUUAUCAGCUGACACAGGAAACGGUGGAGAAUCAUCUCCCUCCCAUUCCCCUUCCAAACUUCCUGCUUGCUCCACAAAUCAACUUAUGAUAUUCCUCCAGUGAUGGCCAUGAAGAAUUCUCCAGAAGAAGAAGAACACAAGAUAAACGUAAUACUCGUGGUUCUCAACCUCCAAGAAGAAGUAGGUCUGAAGUGUGUGGGAAGAAUGACAUGACCCAUUCUCCCAAUAGCUCUCCUUGUCAGUAAGAAGUCUCUGGCCAUUUCAUUGUCCUUCGAAGGAAUAUGGUCCAACAAUUAGUCCCUAUGGCAUCUUUCUUCAAUCUAGUUCCCUCCAGAUGUUGUGGACUACAACUUCCAUAUCCCCUAACCACUAAACCCUGAAGAUUGACAAUGAUAGCAGCUCACACUAACAAUGAUUUUCCAGGGACAUGGAACUGAAAAUGAGAUGCUCCCUGGUAAAUAGGGACCAUCGGAAUUGUGUAAUAAAUUGGUUCCUUUAUGCUCACUGAUGUUAUGAGCACCAACCAGAAGGCUGUACAACACCCUUCAGCAGAGGAGGUGUCUGCUACCACAACUACAGUGGUACCUCAGGUUAAGUACUUAAUUUGUUCCGGAGGUCCGUUCUUAACGUGAAACUGUUCUUAACCUGAAGCACCACUUUUGUUAAUGGGGCCUCCUGCUGCUGCCGCGCCGCCAGAGCACGAUUUCUGUUCUCAUCCUGAAGCAAAGUUCUUAACCUGAAGCACUAUUUCUGGGUUAGCGGAGUCUGUAACCUGAAGCAUAUGUAACCUGAAGUGUAUGUAACCUGAGGUACCACUGUAUUACUUUUAAAAGGUGAAUUGACUAGAAAGUUGAACCAGUUAUCCAGGUGCCAUGGCCGCAAGAGGAUUUUCAAUAGGUAGACAAGACAGGGGUGGAGCCUGAGAUCAGGAAUUAACAAAGGGCAGGGAAAGCGAAAGAGGGUUCACCUACCUUUAGCCCUAGUCAGAGGGAAGGAAGCUGUACCUAUGUUAGAGUGCAGUGAAUGCAUGGGCCAAUGAGAAGCAGCUGGGCUGUACUUUUUCCUUCCGCCGCAUUUAAUCACUGUCUUCGAAAGUAAUUUGAGAAGUGGCCCCAGAGGCCUGAAAAGUUGGAGACAGAAGCUGGGAACCUGCCGUGCCCUAGGAUGAGCCCCAAGGCCUGCUAACCAGCUGUUUCUCCCCGUCAGAGGGCAUGAUCUCCUUGGCUUUAAUGAGGCUCAUAAAUCCUGCCGGUGUCACAGGCACACGGCUACACCUCACGCAAAGACAAACACAGCCUGCCACCUUUAACCCUGCUCGUGGGAGGAAGAAUUGCUGCCUGUGUAUUUGCACAGAGACACCUAGUUAGUGGGCAACAAGAAGAGUGUGGUGCCACACUCAUGCCACAUUUACCGGAUUUAUUUUGUGUGUGUGUGUGUGUGUGUGUGUGUGUGUGUAUUUAUAUACAUUUAAAAUUUAUGUUUCCACCAUUUUGGCUUACUCAGUGUGGCAUGUGAUAGCAUAAAUCCUGGACUAUGGUCUGCAGGUAGCUGCCCUGAUGAAGCUAAGCAGGUCUGAGUCAAGGCCCAGCACCAACCGCUAUGUAGGGAUGUGCAUAGAUGCUAGAAGAUGAUAUAUUUAUUAGAUAUUGUCCUUCCACCCUCAUGUUUGUGAGUUCAGCCGAGUGCCAUCCCUUUGCAGCUUAAAAGGGAAGUUUAAAAGUAAAGGGACCCCUGACCAUUAGGUCCAGUCGUGGCCGACUCUGGGGUUGCGGCGCUCAUCUCGCUUUAUUGUCCGAGGGAGCCGGCGUACAGCUUCCGGGUCAUGUGGCCAGCAUGACUAAGCUGCUUCUGGCGAACCAGAGCAGCACACAGAAACGCCGUUUACCUUCCCGCCGGAGCGGUACCUAUUUAUCUACUUGCAUUUGACGUGCUUUUGAACUGCUAGGUGGGCAGGAGCUCCCAACUGCUGACCUUCCGAUCAGCAAGCCCUAGGCUCAGUGGUUUAGACCACAGCACCACCCGUGUCCCAAAAGAGAAGCUUAGAUAGGCUAGUUUUAUACCUUUUGGUGUCAGUAAUCCAGGAUACUUUUAAGGCAGACUGGAUUCACCUGGUAUUUCCCCUUUUCUCCUCCCUUAAAGCAACGGUCGCACAAACAGCCUUGUAAAAGUUAAAAAUGACAUCUACUCAUUCAGAAUACUUGUUGAAGAUUAACAGGUACAGCAGCUUUGUUCAGGCAGGCUUAAAAUGGUAAUUCCAUUACAAACACGUGAGCUGUGGCUCAGACUUAGCAUAUGUUCUACAUUGCUGGAAUGGGGUGAAAGAGCAAAGGAAAAGUGCCCAGUCAGGUGAGAAGAUUAUAUAUGGCUAUGCCACCCACCCCCGUCCCCAGUCAGGGAGGAGUGUUUCUCAGAGUUCUCUCUAGCAAACUUGCAGGAAAACUCUUUUGAGCUUCAGCUCCGAUCAUGUGCCUUUCUAGCAAACAUGCAUUGUUGGUUUGUCCACAUUGUAAAUAUCCCACAAGCUGGACAAGUCAGGCAAAAAGUAUUGUAGCACCUUAUAAGACUAAACAGUUUAUGGGAUCAGUUUUUGUGGGCUGGAAUCUACUUCAUCUGAUGCAUGGAAGGUUGUCUCAAUUAUUUUAUUCAGGCCAUACAUUUAGAGCAGCCAGGGAGAAUCCAGGGAGCUGUAGUUUGUUAACGGUGCCGUGAAUUCUAGCUUUGUGAGGCCAGCACCCUUAACAAACCACAUUUCCCAGGAUUCUUUGGGGGAAAGCCAUAACUGCUAAAAUCGUAGAAGAGUGCUUUGAAUUUACAGUGUGCCCAGGAGCAGAGUCUGUGCGGCUCUGUUCUGGUGUUAGGUCCAAGAACACAUGGAAGGAGAGAGGUUGGGCUUCAUGUGCUCCCUCUCCUGACUUUGAGGCUGAAGGGAGAUUCUUUGCACAUCCAGCUAAACAUGCUUGGAAUCCUGCCUGCAACUGGGGAGACUGAUAGUGCAGGGCUGCAGCUUGCACAUAGGACUAUGCACAUUCACUCGAACAGGCAAAGAAUCCCUCUUUAGAACCAUAGCCAUGGUUGGAGCUGACAGUGAUAUAGAAGCAGGGGUAAUGCUUGUGUUCUCGCUUCCCCUCCAUGUUAAUUUAUAAUUUACAGUGGUACCUCGGGUUAAGUACUCAGUGGAUUUGUAACUGGCUGACUGACCGAACCCAAAGGGUGCUCAUCAAUGGUUCCUCUUCAUCCUGGAGAAGAGUGACUAGUGGGGUGCCACAGGGUUCUGUCUUGGGCCCGGUCUUAUUCAACAUCUUUAUCAACGACUUGAAUGAUGGACUCAAGGGCAUCCUGAUCAAAUUUGCAGAUGACACCAAACUGGGAGGGGUGGCUAACACCCCAGAGGACAGGAUCACACUUCAAAACGACCUUGACAGAUUAGAGAACUGGGCCAAAACAAACAAGAUGAAUUUUAACAGGGAAAAAUGUAAAGUAUUGCACUUGGGCAAAAAAAAAUGAGAGGCACAAAUACAAGAUGGGUGACACCUGGCUUGAGAGCAGUACAUGUGAAAAGGAUCUAGGAGUCUUGGUUGACCACAAACUUGACAUGAGCCAACAGUGUGACGCGGCAGCUAAAAAAGCCAAUGCAAUUCUGGGCCUCAUCAAUAGGAGUAUAGCAUCUAGAUCAAGGGAAGUAAUAGUGCCACUGUAUUCUGCUCUGGUCAGACCUCACCUGGAGUACUGUGUCCAGUUCUGGGCACCACAGUUCAAGAAGGACACUGACAAACUGGAACGUGUCCAGAGGAGGGCAACCAAAAUGGUCAAAGGCCUGGAAACGAUGCCUUAUGAGGAACGGCUAAGGGAGCUGGGCAUGUUUAGCCUGGAGAAGAGGAGGUUAAGGGGUGAUAUGAUAGCCACGUUCAAAUAUAUAAAAGGAUGUCACAUAGAGGAGGGAGAAAGGUUGUUUUCUGCUGCUCCAGAGAAGCGGACACGGAGCAAUGGAUCCAAACUACAAGAAAGAAGAUUCCACCUAAACAUUAGGAAGAACUUCCUGACAGUAAGAACUGUUCGACAGUGGAAUUUGCUGCCAAGGAGUGUGGUGGAGUCUCCUUCUUUGGAGGUCUUUAAGCAGAGGCUUGACAACCAUAUGUCAGGAGUGCUCUGAUGGUGUUUCCUGCUUGGCAGGGUGUUGGACUCGAUGGCCCUUGUGGUCUCUUCCAACUCUACGAUUCUAUGAUUCUAUUCUAUGAUUCUAUUCUAAGUACCUAAUUUGUUCUGGAGGUCUAUUCUUAACCUGAAACCGUUCUUAAUCUGAAGCACCACUUUAGCUAAUGGGGCCUCCUGCUGCUGCCGCACUGCCGGAGCACGAUUUCUGUUAUCAUCCUGAAGCAAAGUUCUUAACCCGAGGUACUAUUUCUGGGUUAGCGGAGUCUGUGACCUGAAGCGUAUGUAACCUGAAGCGUAUGUAACCCGAGGUACCACUGUACUUAGAAAAACAAAAGCAGCUCCACAUUAGAAAGAAAUAGCAUUGUUUACAGUGUAUUCUUCUUUUCCAGUAACCAGCAGUUAACUCAAGAAUGGAGAACUCACAGGCCUGGGGACCAAAUGCAGCCCCCUGAGACCAUCCUCAGGCCACACACCAUCACCAGCCUUACUCUGCGUCCUCCUUGAAUGUUUUUGCCUAACUGGACUGUGUCCUUGAAUUCUGACAAUGCUUCUUGUAUGCCUGGAUGGGGGAUCAAGACAGCUGUUUGAAUGUGCGAUGAAGCUCUCCAUCCUACCAUACAAAGGUAAGAAUCACCUUUAUUACUCUGUCCAGUCCUGCCUCUGGCUCCACUGGCAUUUGGCCCUCAGGCUGAAAAAAUUCUCCUACCCCCUAAGUGAACUAGCACACCAGUCUGAAAAUUUUUUUAGUCGUGUCCGACUCUUCGUGUCCCCAUGGACCAGAGCACACCAGGCACUUCUGUCUUCCACUGCCUCCCGCAGUUUGGUCAAACUCAUGUUAGUAGAUUCGAGAACACUGUCCAACCAUCUCAUCCUCCGUCGUCCCCUUCUCCUUGUGCCCUCCAUCUUUCCCAACAUCAGGGUCCUUUCCAGGGAGUCUUCUCUUCUCGUGAGGUGGCCAAAGUAUUGGAGCCUCAGCUUCAGGAUCUGUCCUUCCAGUGAGCACUCAAGGCUGAUUUCCUUAAGAAUGGAUACGUUUGAUCUUCUUGCAGUCCAUGGGACUCUCAAGAGUCUCCUCCAGCACCAUAGUUCAAAAGCAUCAAUUCUUCGACAAUCAGCCUUCUUUAUGGUCCAGCUUUCACUUCCAUAAGCCAGAACAGCAAGAGGGAUUGCUGCGCAGUGAAAGCAGCAAUCCCUCUUGCUGUUCUUGUUUCUGGGAUAGCUGCGCAGCCUGCAUUUGCUCCAUAAGACGCACACACAUUUCCCCUUUCUUUUUAGGAGGGGAAAACUGAGUCUUAUAGAGCAAAAAAUACGGUAAUAGAAGUGGAGGGGCUGUCGAUCUUGAGGGUAUGUGGCAGGCAAGGUGCUGCUGGUAUUCUGUCUCACCUUCACAUUGUAACUGUGAGACCACGUCUAGUGACAUUUGCAACACUUUCCAAAGGGGUUUGCCUCUUGUGUAACUGCUCCCGUCAACUUCUUUAUCUCUCUAGAUUUGCAGCUAGAUCUCCCAUCUCCUCCUCCUUUGCCCUUCUGAAGCCUGAUAUGUGCGUAAGUGUGGGUUUGAAUGUGUGUUGCAUGAUUCUGCAAUAUCUACUCACUGUUAUACUUUGAGGAACCUUCCUAGCUGUUUCCCUUUCUGGGCAAGUCUAGUAGGAACUACUCUCAGAGCAACACCCUCCACCCACCCCUGCAAAUAACAGAGUAUUUUGAAAUCGGGGAGAAAAUACUAUGCCCUUCCCCUGGCGUGACCUUUCAUUCCAGCAUCUGUACCAACGAUGGCC